GAUGAAGAACGUAGCGAAAUGCGAUAAGUAGUGUGAAUUGCAGAAUUCAGUGAAUCAUCGAAUCUUUGAACGCACAUUGCGCCCCUUGGUAUUCCAUGGGGCAUGCCUGUUCGAGCGUCAUUUGUACCUUCAAGCUCUGCUUGGUGUUGGGUGUUUGUCUCGCCUCUGCGUGUAGACUCGCCUUAAAACAAUUGGCAGCCGGCGUAUUGAUUUCGGAGCGCAGUACAUCUCGCGCUUUGCACUCAUAACGACGACGUCCAAAAGUACAUUUUUACACUCUUGACCUCGGAUCAGGUAGGGAUACCCGCUGAACUUAAGCAUAUCAAUAGCGAGGA
rnacentral:misc_RNA from 1 species